rnacentral:misc_RNA from 1 species
AACUCUUCCUGGAUUCACAAUUAUAAGUCCAAGACAAGCAGACUGUCCAGCUCUAUACAUAGCAGAUUUAAUCAUUCCAGGCUCAAACCAAUGGGACCUGCCGAUGUUAUAUGCUACUUUCACUCCAGAGGAAUGUUGAGAAAUCAUUAAAAUUCCUAUUGGUUCACAUCUGAAGGAAGCUAUUAGAGUGUGGCACUUUUCGAGAUCGGGCACUCCUACUGUUAAAGCUAUUUAUCAUAGGCUGAAACAAUUGUAAGCUAUUCUGCAACAAGCAGCACUCUUA